rnacentral:rRNA from 1 species
GACGAACGCUGGCGGCGUGCUUAACACAUGCAAGUCGAGCGGGAAACUUCGGUUUCCAGCGGCGGACGGGUGAGUAACACGUGGGCAACCUGCCUCACAAUGAGGGAUAGCCCUCCGAAAGGAGGAUUAAUACCUCAUACCACAAGAGAAACGCAAGAUUCUCUUGCCAAAGAAUUACGUUGUGAGAUGGGCCCGCGGCGCAUUAGCUUGUUGGUGAGGUAACGGCUCACCAAGGCUUCGAUGCGUAGCCGACCUGAGAGGGUGAUCGGCCACAUUGGAACUGAGACACGGUCCAGACUCCUACGGGAGGCAGCAGUGGGGAAUAUUGCACAAUGGAGGAAACUCUGAUGCAGCAACGCCGCGUGAGUGAUGAAGGUCUUCGGAUUGUAAAGCUCUGUCUUCUGGGACGAUAAUGACGGUACCAGAGGAGGAAGCCACGGCUAACUACGUGCCAGCCGCCGCCGUAA